UUUGUAUCGUCUCCUCUCAGCCUUCUUCCCCAGCAGUCAAAAACCUUAAAAAAUUGAAAAACAAAGCAAGACCCACGCCACGAAGAGAAGCAAAAAUGGAAGACGAAGAAAACAACCCAACAUGCAGAGACGUCCCGAGUCUCCUCUCCUCCUUUGUCGACAUAUUCGUCGAUUUCUCUGUUAGUGGCGGCCUCUUCUUGCCCCCUCUAGACCCUAAUUUCAGAGGUUCUCCAAAUCACCAAAGUACAACUCCUGAUGGAACCUUCAAUUUGCGAACCCAUUACUCCACUCCUGAUCGUCUAAUUGCAAUCGGCGAUUUACACGGUGAUUUAGAGAAGUCCAAACAAGCUCUAAGGCUGGCGGGUUUGAUUGAUAUGUCUAAUAGGUGGUCUGGUGGGUCUGCCAUGGUGGUUCAGAUAGGUGAUGUGCUUGAUCGAGGUGGUGAGGAGCUGAAAAUCCUCUAUUUUUUGGAGAAAUUAAAGAGAGAAGCAGUGAAAAGUGGAGGCAAUUUGAUUACUAUGAAUGGGAACCAUGAGAUUAUGAAUGUAGAAGGCGAUUUUAGAUAUGUGACAAAGUUAGGGUUAGAGGAGUUCACAAAUUGGGCUUAUUGGUAUUGCGUAGGCAACAAAAUGAAGAGUCUAUGUGUAGGACUGGAAAAGCCGAAGGAUAUCUUUGAUGGGAUUCCUUUAACUUUUCGAGGAGUUAAAGAAGAGUAUUUUCAUGGUAUGAGAGCUAGAAUUGCUGCAUUGAGACCUGAUGGCCCUAUAGCCAAUAAAUUUUUGUCAAAGAAUUUGACUGUGUUGGUUGUUGGGGAUUCAGUUUUUGUUCAUGGAGGAUUAUUAGCAGAACAUGUGGACUAUGGGUUGGAGAGGAUGAAUAAGGAGGUUAGGGAUUGGAUUACUGGGUUAACACAAAAAUCUGCGCCACUUUAUUGCAAAGGGAGGAAUGGUGUUGUUUGGUUGAGGAAGUUCUCUGAUGAGGUGGCUAAGAACUGUGAUUGUUCAGCUCUGGAACAUGUUCUUGCUACAAUUCCUGGGGUGAAGAGGAUGAUUAUGGGCCAUACUAUUCAGGAGGCUGGCAUUAAUGGGGUUUGUGACAAUAGGGCAAUAAGGAUUGAUGUGGGUAUGUCAAAAGGGUGCACAAAUGGGUUGCCUGAAGUUUUGGAGAUCAAUGGGAAUUCGGAGUUGCGGGUGUUGACAUCCAAUCCAUUGUAUCAGAACAAGUACAAGCCUUAUUUGGAUGAUGAUAGGAAGCAGGGCCUUGGGUUGCUUAUACCAGAAAGCAGACCAAAACAGGUGGAAGUGAAGGCUUAAGAGUUUGUUUGUCUGAACUUCAUUAAUGCUUUGCCUUAUGGCAAUUAAAUCAUAGAUGGAUGGGAUGAAUGUUGUUUAGCAGGAUCAGGAAUUGUAAAGCAUUGCUUAGAGUAGAUUGACAAAAGAAGUUUAAUCAAUACAAAGCUUACUCAGAAAAUUUCCUAUUUGACUUACAUUCCUGUUGUUUUUAUUGUUUCUGCAAAAAUCAUCUUCCUCAUGGAAUAGCAAUGAAAAAUUUUGUGCCUUUACCUUGAAAAUAAUGAAUAUGCUUGAUCCAAAGCUA
rnacentral:misc_RNA from 1 species